AGGGGGCAAGCGUUAUCCGGAUGUACUGGGUGUAAAGGGAGCGUAGACGGCUUAGCAAGUCUGAAGUGAAAGCCCGGGGCUCAACCCCGGGACUGCUUGGGAAACUGUUAAGCUGGAGUGCUGGAGAGGUAAGCGGAAUUCCUAGUGUAGCGGUGAAAUGCGUAGAUAUUAGGAGGCACACCAGUGGCGAAGGCGGCUUACUGGACAGUAACUGACGUUGAGGCUCGAAAGCGUGGGGAGCAAA
rnacentral:rRNA from 1 species